AUUGACCGCUGGCGUCAGGCCUCACACAUGCAAGUCGAACGAGUGGCGGACGUGUGAGUAAUGUCUGGGAAACUGCCUGAUGGAGGGGGAUAACUACUGGAAACGGUAGCUAAUACCGCAUACCAUCGGAUGUUCCCCGAUGGGUUUAGCUAGUAGGUUGGGUAACGACUCACCUAGGCGCCGAUCCCUAGCUGGUCUGAGAGGAUGACCAGAGACACUGGACUUAGGACACGAUCCAGACUCCUGCGGGAGGCAGCAGUGGAGAAUAUUGCCCUAUUGGCUCAAGCCUGAUUCAGCCAUGCCGCGUGUAUGAAGAAGUCCUCAGGGUUGUAAAGUACUUUCAGCGGGGAGGCGUUACCCGCAGAAGAAGCACCGGCUAACUCCGUGCCAGCAGCCGCGGUUAUUC
rnacentral:rRNA from 1 species